UAAAAAAAAAAACUUGUACAAACAAAUAAGCAAUUUAAGCAUUAAAUUUAUAAAUUAAAUACAAAAUGAAUUUGGGUGCAAUUAACUUUGACUGUUGGUUGACAAUAAUCAAAUACUUAAACCUCAACGAUCAGCUGGCGCUUUAUGAAGCCACUCAUGGAGUCUUAAAUGGCAUAAACUUAAGUCUAGUGUAUGGCUGGAAAAAACAGCAUUGCUUUAGACUUGAUGGAAUAAGCAUUAAGUUCUUUGAGCAGAUGCCGGAAGUGUUGGACAUUUUCCUCUCCAGCAUAAGUGCAACAAUACAGGAAUUGCAACUGAAGUUCGCCUCAGUGGAGUUUCUCCAACAAUGGGAGAAGUACACAUUUUCAAACAUUGAAACACUGGAAUGCAUAUUCGAUGAUCGUCGCUGCCAUAAACCAUCUACCGAUGAGGAAAUACAUCUACUGACAAAGCUCUUUCCAAGACUGCGAUGCGUGAAGCUUGGUGCCGCAAUGCGGCAGUCAUCGAGACACUUGCGACACGUGGACUGGGGCACCUGGGAGCAGGGCCGUAGAGGCAAUAAUUGCCCCAAAGGAAUCGCCAGGUGGCAGCUGCUGGAAGAACUAACAUUGUCUUAUCAUUUCCGGUUGCCUUUCUUUAAUGACGGAAUCGUGUCGUUGCCCAACCUACAGUCAAUUACCUUUUACCAGAAUGAACUCGAAAACGAUUUGGAUGAGAUGCUAAAGGAACGUUGGAAGGACGUACAUAGAAUGAUCCUUAAUGAUUGCAUUGACAAAUACAGCUGGGAAAAGCUACGUAAGCUGACAAGCUUGCAUCACUUGACAAUAGUUCACGAUGAAUUUUUCACCCGAGGAAUCAUAAACAAAGUAGUUGAGAAAAUGAAUCAACUGGAGCAACUGGAUCUUGUCGACUUUGAAAACUGGUAUUCUGAUGAUGGCCUGUGGCAACUUGUUGGUUAUUGUCCAUUGCUAAAGAUCCUAAAUAUAUCAGGCAUGGAUCUAAAACCCUCAUUCUUUAAUGUAAACAGGAGUCUCAUGGAGAAGGCAAUGAAAAAGCAUUGUCAGACCCUAACAUUGUAUUGCGGCAAAAGGGACUCGGAAAUCGAAGAACUGUUUCGUCAGCAUUUUAACCAUCCAGAAGUCACGCUCUCCUUUGAACCUGUAAAUGUGGAAUUACUAAAUUCGAAUAUGGUGAAAAUCCACUUUUAACCUUUGCCAUUCUAGUCAACUAUGUACAAUGUGAUACUUUCCAAGAGGAUUUUUGUAUUUUUCAUUAAAAUUGCUGUGCUGCAGGAACCAUGAAUAUGGUUCCAAAUAAUCGUAUAUAAUUAUAAAUGGCAUCACCUUAGCUCUUUAAUAAUAAACAGUCUUAUACAACAGUGUUCUACCACUAACCAUAUAAACUAUAUACCGUUCGUUGAGGGGGGGAGGAGUUAACAUGCCCCUCUCUCCGGCCAUAUGGAAUAAUGCAGAUCCGGAAACUCCAAGCCUACUCUAUGCAACUCUGACAAUAAUACGCUCAUACAUAGAUUCUGACAUACACACAUGUACAUGCCUUUUGUGAUAAAUUCUCACUGACGAAAUAGUCAGUCUUAUUCUGUUCUCAAAACAGUACAGUGCUUUUGUUUUUAUUGUUAUCGAUAACUAGUAAUAUCGGUUUUAUCCAUUUCUGGUUCCAUUUAGAUGUUAACAAAUUUAUUUAUAAAUUAACUACGCAAUGAACUCACUAAACUACGACUGCUUGAUGAUGAUAAUUAAAUACUUAAAUCUUAACGAUCAACUGUCGAUAUAUGAAGCUACUAAAGGCCAUUCAAAUCACUUGAACUCAAGUGUGUUUUCUGCCUGGAAGCACCAGCUCUGCUUUGAACUGAAUCCAGAAAACUUUCUGAAGUUUGAAGAGAAGCCAGAAAUGUUGGACAUAUUUCUGUCUAGCACUAGUGCAACAAUGCAGGAAUUGAAACUAGAAUGUGUUACAGAGAGGUUCCUCAAACGCUGGCAGAAUUUCACAUUUUCGAACAUGAAAACUCUGGAAUAUACAUUAAAGAGCUGCGAUUGGAAUUAUGAUGUUGACAAAGCGAUAGAAAUAAUGAUAAAGCUCUUUCCUGGACUGCGCUGUGUGAAGACUCAUGAUGGAUUCCAUUAUGGUUGGCUGCAUAAAUGGUCGCAGUUGCGCAAACUGGAGUUGAGCAGUUGGCAGGAGUUUUAUGUACAUGCGGCCCCCCGAAAUGAUUAUAAAGGGUCAGCUGUUGGAGGAGGUGACACUGCCGUGUGACUUUUUUCGGCCUGAGUUUUUUUGAGGCGCUCAUGGAGUUGCCCAAGCUGCGUACACUUACUUAUUAUGUGUUUGAUCGCGAUGACAUUUUAGACGUGCUGCUGGAGAAGCGUGGCAGCGACAUACAUAAGAUUACCUUUCACGAUUGCAUAUGGAUACACAGCAUGACCACAUUGUGCAAACUGAGCCACUUGCACCAAUUGACAUCGAAUGGGGAGCAUUUCACAGGCGAAGAACUAUGCAAACUGAUUACGGAUUUAAGGCACUUGCAGCGAAUGGAUAUCAUCGACCAUCUGGUGAUGUUGAAUGAGGCAAAGCUGUGGCAAGCAGUUGCCAGCUGUCCAUCGCUAAAGAUCCUGAAUAUAUCGGGCAUAAAGCUGCACAAUAAAUUCUUUGAAUUUAGCCGGUGUCUCAUGGAGGCGACACUGAAGAAUCGUUCUGAGCCCUUAGUAUUGUAUUGCCACAACACAGAUAAAAAUGAAAAGCUGAUACAGCGUCACUUCAAGCAUCCAAAUCUGAAGAUGUCUUUUAAGCCUUUAGAACCGGAAAACAUCGGCAGGUGUAUGGUGCGACUGCAUUUGAAACCGUUGGACCCAUCCUGAAUUCCAUAAUGUGAUACUUUUCAUUAAUGACAUUUACAAAUAUUAUAAUUACAAUAAAUGAUUCAAAACACUAUAA